GUUUGUGGAAACACCAUGUAAAUUUAUUACUGCAAUUAUUAGCACUGAUGAAGCUUACGGAUUGAAAGCUUUGCAGUAAUAAAUUUACGUGGUGUUUCCACAAACAAAACUAU